AGGACAACAUUUCAACUCAGAUAAUUUUAGUCUCCAUGGUGCCUUCUGAUAAAAACACUGUCACAGCUCAAAAUAAUUAGUGGGAACAAGACUUCAUCUUCUAACUGGCUACAGUUCCGGCAUCAGGGACAAUAUCAAACUCUCCGCUUCCCUCUCUGUAUCAAAAUGGAUUAAUCCUACUGUGUUGCCCUUAAGGCAUUUAUUUGACUUUGUUGGGUCUACGCUUUAAAUGAUUUGUUUGUAAAUUUUCUCGUUAAAGUUAAAGGUUGAUAAUUAAGUUACAGUUUAACAAAGGUAAAAUCGCUGUCUACGGUAUAUCGCGGCAUGUGAUGACGUCAUCUCCGGUUUCGCCGUGUAACCUCCGGUUCGGAGAAGGUGUGAAGGUGGAUGCCAUGCGUGCGGCAUGAUCGUGAAGAGCUCCGUUUCUACCCACAAAGAAACAUUAUAGAAGCAACGCCAGACAGACACAGAGUCUAUAGAAUUGAAACAAAAAUGGAGUGAGGUCAUGAAACAUAUCUGGAUACAGAAGAGGAGGUGUUUGCUGUCUUGAGACAAAUUAGAGUGGAUGAAUAACCAGAGCCUGCCAGGAAUAGAUAUGGACUUCCUGCUGGCAGUGGAUGGAAUAACAGCAUUUUAUAGCCGCUCCUAGUUUACUUUACUUUUCCUACAUUCCAACCUGAUUUGAUACCAUGACUGCAAGAACUGCUGAAGAUAAACAGGAAAAUUCUUCUACAUCUUUGGAUUCUAUUAUCGAAUUGCUACAAAAGCACAGAAAUGAAGCGUCCGAGGAAUUUCAGUGAUUCAGAAAAGAAUCCUCCGAAAAGGUUCAACAACUUGGCUCUGAAAUUAAACAAUUAAGUACAAAACUGGAUUCUAUUCAAGAAACCUUAACUAAGCACGAUAAAUGAAUAAAAGAGAAUGAAGAAAUCCUGUCGAUUCUGGAUCAGAAAAAGGACAACCUUCAAAAGCGUUAUGGAAAACAAUCCAAGGUUAACGAUGAACUAAGACAGAUUACUGAUUUAGAAAACAGAAGUAGAAGGAAUAACUUAUGAAUUCUUGGUCUCGAAGAGUUAACUGAAGGUGAUCGUCCUACGGAAUAUUUUGCAAACUUUCUGGUUCAGUUAUUUCCUGAUAUUUUAAAAUCAACACUAAUGAUUGACUGAGCGCAGAAUGUUUGCAAGAAAACCUCGUUCAGUGAUAAUCACUUUUCAUGAGUUGCAAACAAAGGACCGUAUAAUUCGUGAAUCUCGUCAGAAAGUUUAACAAAGGUAAAAUCGCUGUCUACGGUAUAUCGCGGCAUGUGAUGACGUCAUCUCCGGUUUCGCCGUGUAACCUCCGGUUCGGAGAAGGUGUGAAGGUGGAUGCCAUGCGUGCGGCAUGAUCGUGAAGAGCUCCGUUUCUACCCACAAAGAAACAUUAUAGAAGCAACGCCAGACAGACACAGAGUCUAUAGAAUUGAAACAAAAAUGGAGUGAGGUCAUGAAACAUAUCUGGAUACAGAAGAGGAGGUGUUUGCUGUCUUGAGACAAAUUAGAGUGGAUGAAUAACCAGAGCCUGCCAGGAAUAGAUAUGGACUUCCUGCUGGCAGUGGAUGGAAUAACAGCAUUUUAUAGCCGCUCCUAGUUUACUUUACUUUUCCUACAUUCCAACCUGAUUUGAUACCAUGACUGCAAGAACUGCUGAAGAUAAACAGGAAAAUUCUUCUACAUCUUUGGAUUCUAUUAUCGAAUUGCUACAAAAGCACAGAAAUGAAGCGUCCGAGGAAUUUCAGUGAUUCAGAAAAGAAUCCUCCGAAAAGGUUCAACAACUUGGCUCUGAAAUUAAACAAUUAAGUACAAAACUGGAUUCUAUUCAAGAAACCUUAACUAAGCACGAUAAAUGAAUAAAAGAGAAUGAAGAAAUCCUGUCGAUUCUGGAUCAGAAAAAGGACAACCUUCAAAAGCGUUAUGGAAAACAAUCCAAGGUUAACGAUGAACUAAGACAGAUUACUGAUUUAGAAAACAGAAGUAGAAGGAAUAACUUAUGAAUUCUUGGUCUCGAAGAGUUAACUGAAGGUGAUCGUCCUACGGAAUAUUUUGCAAACUUUCUGGUUCAGUUAUUUCCUGAUAUUUUAAAAUCAACACUAAUGAUUGACUGAGCGCAGAAUGUUUGCAAGAAAACCUCGUUCAGUGAUAAUCACUUUUCAUGAGUUGCAAACAAAGGACCGUAUAAUUCGUGAAUCUCGUCAGAAAGGUAUGAUUGAUUUUAAUGGUAAGAAGAUCAGAAUUGUUGAAGAUCUCUCAGCAGAGAUUAUGAGGGAGCAUGCUGAGUUUAAAAGCAUCAUGUCAGAGUUCUGCAACAAGAAUUUUAAACUUUCUCUAUGGUACCCGGCGAGGCUCAGAAUUACACUGCAGGAUGGAUCGCAGAAAUGGUUCCGUUCGAGUCUCCAGGCCCAGGAAUUUUUAGAAAAUCAAUAAGAAUAUUGAAAAAGGAAGAAAAGAAGAGAAUCAGAGCUGAGGAUGCAGAGGAAAUGACCAGGUUCUGAAAGCAAUCUUCACUACGCCCAGUUGAAGGGAAAUAUGACUCAUUCUCCAGGGAUGUCAAAGGCGUCCAUCUAGUUCAAGUAUCCCCUGGAUUUAAGUGGAAGCCAUUGUUUCCUUCUGCUUGCAGAGUAUCAUAAGUAUACUGUAUUUUCAUUUCCAAACACACUGAACAUUCUGAUGGAUGGAGAAAAAUUGGAUGUAGACUUGACUCAAUUUAAUUUUCAGCACAUCAGAAUAACAAUAACAGAGCAGAGGAAGUAUAUGUUAUACUUCAGGGAUCGGUAAAAAUACCUGCAAUUUUUUACCUGUAUAGACAUAUUGCAACAUUAGCAUCAAAUACUUUCUUUCAGUAGGCUCUACUGACAAAUUUAAAUUUGUGGUUCACUUCCGGCUCACUCUCCUGGUUGUUAAGGAUUAAGAUCCAGAGAGUCAUUGAGAGAUGCAAACAGACUGAAAAUGCGUACCAUGCCCUUUAUUGUAAAGUGACUCACUUCCAAAAAAUGCAUACAUUUGAAUGCCGGGCCAUUAAAUAUUCAGAAAAUCUUAAACGAGAGAGCAUUUUUAUCUCUCUGAAAUGUAUAUCAAAAAUAUAUUGAAGUGCUUGUUACAACAGUCUUUACUGUGCAUCCAGAGCAUACAUUAUAAAUAGGAGAUGGUAGAAGACAUACAGUAUUGCUAAGUGACAUUUCAUAUUUCAAUAAAUAAAUCGUUCUAAAUAAAUAAUAUUUACAGUCAGCUUUCAGAGAUAUAGGACAACAUGUUUGUAUAUAAAAGCUUGCACAUGACCAGAAAACAAAUGAUGUAGUGAGGUAUAAAUGGGUUUCCCAGGAAUCAUUGUUAUUAGUUUAUCAAUGUAUUUUCCCAGAUUUUCCCUUGUGUCGCAUAUAGCCUUAAUUUGAUGGUGUCUGCAUUCUGAAUUUGUAUUAGCAAUUUGUGAUGCCAAGUUGUUUCGUGCAAUUUCCAGUACAGUUUAUCACAUAUCAGAGGGCCAAGUGCCAGGAAAGCUAUUGCCAGGAGUAUUUUACAGAGGGGAGUGUUUGCAGAAAUGUGGGAGUGGAGCACUCAUCCAGUCAGUCUGGUUCCAAGGUAAUACACUAGUCACUGUGACAAAGAUUUCAGACCCUGCAGAAAUGUGUAUACCAUCUCCACAUAAAAUGUACCUUCCAUUUAACUCUGAACCUCUGCAGCACUAAAAGGAUUCGGAUUCAGAUCAAUUUAUUUAUCACAUAUACAUCAAAACAUAGAGUAAAAUGCAUCGUUUGUGUUAACAACCAGCACGACCUAAGGAUAUGCUGGGGGCAGCCCCUACACAUUCCCGCACCAACAUAGCAUGCCCACAAUGCUUGGCAGAACACAACAAGCAAUAAAAUGACAACAGCAAAACAAGCCCCGUUCCUCCCUCCCUUUCACCCACACAGACAGCCCUCCAGCCCCAGGGCAGGACUCCAGGCUUCCCGCAGACUUGCAGACAAUGAGCCUCUGACUUCCCUAGAGGACUUCAGACUCGUAGACCCAGGGCUUCGGCCAUUGAGCUUCAGCUUCUGGACUUCUGAUUGACCUUUGGGCUUUUAUUAAAGUACAUGUAUGUCACCCUGAGAUUCAUUUCCUUGCAGGCAUUCACUGUAAAUUCAAGAAACCCAAUAGAUUCAAUGAAAGACACCACCAAUAAAAUGGACAUCAGCCAACAAACAACAAACUGUGCAAAUACAAAACAAGAAAAACAAAACAAAAUAUUAAUAAUAAAUAACUAAACAAUAAAUAUUGAGAACAUAAUCUGCAGAGUCCUUGAAAGUGAGUCUGUAGAUUGUGGGAACAGUUCAAUGUUGGACGAGUAAAAGUGAGUAUAUUUAUCCGCUCUGGUUUAAGACCCAGAUGGCUGAGGAGUAAUAACUAUUCCUGAACCUGGUGGCGUGGGUCCUAAGGCUCCUGUACUUUCUUCCUGAUGGCAGCAACAAGAAGAGAGCAAGGUAUGGAUGGUGGGCGUCCUUGAUGGUGGAUGCUGCUUUCCUGCAACAGUGCUCUGUAGAUGUGGUCAAUGGUGGGGAGGGCUUUACCCAUGAUGGACUGAGCUGUAUCCACUACUUUUUGCAGACUUUUAAAUUCAAGGGCAUUGGCAUUUCCAUACCAGUCCGUGGUACAGUACAACCACUCAAUAUACUCUCCAGUGCACAUCUAUGGAAGUUUGCCGGAUCUUCGGAUAAUUCUUGCAAAGUAGGGAUGUUCCAAUGCUUUCUUCAUACUGCCACUUAUGUGGUGGAUCCAGGACACACCCUCUGAAAUGAUAACACAGAGGAACUUAGAGUUGCUGACCCUCUCCACCUCUGAUCCCCAGAUGAGGACUGGGUUAUGGACCUCUGGUUUUCACCUCCUGUAGUCAAUAGACAUCUCCUUGGUCUUGCUGACAGUGAGUGAGGUGUUGUUGUAGCCAGAUUUUCAAUCUCUCUCCUACAUGCUGAUUUGUCACCACCUUUGAUUCAGCUGACUGAGGUGUCAGUGAACUUAAAUAAGGCUUAGCCUCACAGUCAUAAGUAUAAAGUGAGUAGAGCAGGAGGAUAAGCACACAGCCUUGUGGUCCACCCAUGCUGAUGGAGAUUGCGGAGGAGUUAUAGUUCCCAAUACAAACUGAGUGAAGUCUGCAAGUGAGGAAAGCGAGGAUUCAGUUGCACAAGAAGGUAUUGAGGACUAGGCCUUGAAAUUUAUUGAUUAGUUUUGAGGAGAUGAUAACAUUGAAUGCCCAGCAGUAGUCAAUGAAGAGCAUCUACGGAGUCUCUGUAGGUGGAAGUUAGGAAUAGGAAGGGGUCAAUCACUCUACUGAGUGUUUUUUAUAGACCACCCAAUAGUAACAGGGACAUCGAGGAGCAGACAGGGAGACAGAUUCUGGAAAGGAGCAAUAAUAACAGGGUUGUUACGGUGGGACAUUUUAAUUUCCCAAAUAUUGAUUGGCAUCUCUAGAGUGGGGGGUUUAUAUGGGGUAAAGUUUGUUAGGUGUGUUCAGGAAGGUUUCUUGACACAAUAUGUAGAUAAGCCUACAAAAGGAGAGGCUGUGCUUGAUCUGGUAUUGGGAAAUGAACCUGGACAGGUGUCAAGUCUCUCAGUAGAGAGCAUUUUGGAGGUAGUGAUCACAAUUCUAUCUCCUUUACCGUAACAUUGGAGAGGGAUAGGAACAGACAAGUUAGGGAAAUGUUUAAUUGGAGUAAGGGGAAAUAUGAGGCUAUCAGGCAGGAACUUGGAAGCAUAAAUUGGAAACAGAUGUUCUCAGGGAAACGUACAGAAGAAACGUGGCAAAUGUUCAGGGGAUAUUUGCAUGGGGUUCUGAGUAGGUACGUUCCAAAUGAGACUUGGAAAGGAUGCUAGGGUAGAAGAUCCGUGGUGUAGAAAGGCUGUUGUAAAUCUAGUCAAGAAGUAAAGAAGAGCUUAUGAAAGGUUCAAAAAACUAGGUAAUGAUAUGAAUCUAGAAGAUUAUAAGGCAAGCAGGAAGGAGCUUAAGAAUGAAAUUAGGAGAGCCAGAAGGGGCCAUGAGAUGGCAUUGGCGGACAGGAUUAAAGAAAACCCCAAGGCAUUCUACAAGUACGUGAAGAGCAAAAGGAUAAGACAUGAGAGAAUAGGACCAAUCAAGUGACAGUGGAAGAGUGUGUAUGGAACCGGAGGAAAUAGCGGAGGUAUUUAAUGAACACUUUGUUUCAGUAUUCACUACAGAAAAAGAUCUUGGCGAUUGUAGGGAUGACUUGCAGUGGACUAAAAAGCUUGAGCAUGUAGAUAUUAAGGAAGAGGAUGUGCUGGAGCUUUUGGAAAGCAUCAAGUUGGAUAAGUCACCGGGACCAGGGGAAAUGAGGGAGGAGAUUGCUGAGUCUCUAGCAAUGAUCUUUGCAUCAUCAAUGAGGACGGGAGAGGUUCCGGAGGAUUGGAGGGUUGCGGACGUUGUUCCCUUAUUCAGGAAAGGGAGUAAGGUUAGCCCAGGGAGUAAGGUUAGCCCAGGAAGUUACAGGCCAGUGAGUCGUACUUCAGUGGUUGGUAAGUUGAUGGAGAAGAUCCUGAGAGGCAGGAUUUAUGAACAUUUGGAGAGGCGUAAUGUGAUUAGGAAUAGUUAGCAUGGCUUUGUCAAAGGCAGGUCAUGCCUUAUGAGCCUGAUUGAAUUUUUUGAGGAUGUGACUAAACACAUUGAUGAAGGAAGAGCAGUAGAUGUAGUGUAUAUGGAUUUUAGCAAGGCAUUUGAUAAGGUACCCCAUGCAAGGCUUAUUGAGAAAGUAAGGAGGCAUAGGAUCCAAGGGGACAUUGCUUUGUGGAUUCAGAACUGGCUUGUCCACAGAAGGCAAAGAGUGGAUGUAGACGGGUCAUAUUCUGCAUGGAGGUCAGUGACCAGUUAUGUGCCUCAGGGAUCUGCUCUGCGACCCCUACACUUUGUGAUAUUUAUAAACGACCUGGAUGAGGAAGUGGAGGGAUGGGUUAGUAAAUUUGUCGAUGGCACGAAGGUUUGGGGUGUUGUGGAUAGUGUAUAGGCCUGUGGGAGGUUACAGCGGGUCAAUGAUAGGGUGCAAAACUGGACUGAGAAGUGGCAGAUGGACUUCAACCCAGAUAAGUGUGAGGUGGCUCAUUUUGGUCGUUCAUUUCAAAUAUGAUGGCAGAAUAUAGCAUUAAUGAUGAGACUGUUGGCAGUGUGGAGGAUCAGAGGGAUCUUGAGGUCCGAGUCCAUGGGACACUCAAAGCUGCUAUGCAGGUUGACUCUGUGGUUAAGAAGGCAUAUGGUGCAUUGGCCUUCAUCAAUCGUGGGACUGAGUUUAAGAGCCGAGAGGUAUUCUUGCCACUAUAUAGGACCCUGGUCAGACCCCACUUGGAGUACUGUGCUCAACUCUGGUCGCCUCACUACAGGAAGGACAUGGGAACCAGAGAAAGGGUGCAGAGGAGAUUUACAAGGAUGUUGCCUGGAUUGGGGAGCAUGCCUUUUGAGAAUAGGUUGAGUGAACUCAGCCUUUUCUUCUUGGAGUGACGGAGGAUGAGAGGUGUCCUGAUUGAGAUGUUCAAGAUAAUGAGAGGCAUUGAUCGUGUGGAUAGUCAGAGACUUUUCCCCAGGGUUGAAAUGGCUAGCACGAGAGGGCAUAGUUUUAUGAUGUUUGGAAGUAGGUACAGAAGAGAUGUCAGGGGUUAAGUUUUUUACGCGGAGAGUGGUGAGUGCCUGUAAUGGGCUGCCGGCGGCAGUGGAGGAGGCGGAAACAGUAAGGUCUUUUAAGAGACUCCUUGAUGGCUACAUGGAGCUUAGAAAAGCAGAGGGCUAUGGAUAAAGCCUAGGUAGUUCUAAGGUAGGGACAUGUUCGGCACAGCUUUGUGGGCCGAAAGGCCUGUAUUGUGCUAAAGGUUUUCUCUGUUUCUAUGUCUCUAUGUUUGUAUCUUCACCGUCCAAAUGUUCCAGGGUUGAGUGAAGAGUCAAUGAAAUGGCAUCUGCUGUUAACCUGUUGUGAUGUUAAGCAAUCUGGAGCCGAUCCAAGUCACUUCUCAGGCAGGAAUUGAUACGUUUCAUCACCAACCUCUGAAAGUGUUAUGUCACAGUGAGUGUUACUGGAUGAUAGUCAUUGAGACAGAUUGCCACAUUCUUCUUAGGCACUAUAUAAUUGAAGCCUGCAUGAACCAGAUUGCCUAAGUGAGAGUUUAAAGAUACAAGUGAACCCUCCAGCCAGCUGAUCAUCUCAAAACUUAGUAUUCAACCAAGUACCCUGUCUGGGGCAGAUUCUUUCAGUGGGUUCACCCUCCUAAAGAAUGCUCUCACGUUAGGCUCAGAGAAUGAAAACACAGUGGCUGUGGGAGUUCAUGAAGGUGUCUCCAUGUGUUGAUGUUCAAAGUGAACAUAAACAGCAUUGAGCUCAUCUGGGAGUGAAACCUGGUGAGAUCAAAUGUUUUAGUUCAAAUAAUCAGAGGCAGGCAAAAGGUAGAAAUCUAAUCUAUUUUAAAUGGCAAAAAAAAGAGACCAUGGAGAGAGAAAAGGGAAUCUCUAUGUUGGAUUAAAGACCAGGAGUGAUCCAUGACACAAAUGGUGUUGGUGAGGCCUCAAGGAGAAGGUGAAGACUUGCUAAUGACAGUUGAUCCAUCCGGAGGAGAUGGGAAUCCAGUGGACAGGGGGCAAAGCAAAGGAACAGUGCUGGAACUAAGAUACAAAGUUUUGCAGCUGCUCAAAAGCCCCAAUAAGAGAUUCCAGCAUCUGCAGAAUUCCUCAUGUUUGCUAAGAAUACAUCCUGUUUUCAACCAACACCAGAGUCAUAGUGUUAUGCAACAUGGGAACAAGCCCUUUAUUGACUUCAGUGUUGAAUCCUGGGGUCUUAAUGUGCAGAGAUAGGAGAAAAAUGUUGUUCUUCACGUUCUGUUGAAAUAAGCUCCAUUGCUUAACGCGUGAGGAGUGUUUAAUGGCUCUGGGCCUGUACUCACUGGAGUUUCAAAGGUUUACAGAAUAUUGAAAGCCUGGAUAAAGAGGGCAUGAAGUGGAUGUUUCUAGUCAUGAAAGAGUGUAGGAAAAGAGGGCACAGCUUCAGGAUGAAAGGAUGUCCCAUUAGAACAGAGGUGAUGAGGAAUUUCUUUGUAAGAGGAUGGUGAAUCUAUGGAAUUCAUUGUCACUGACAGCUGUGGAGGCCAAAUCACUGGGUAUACUAAAGUGGCAGUUGGUAGGUUUCUGAUUAGUAAGGCUGUCAAAGGUUACAGGGAGAAGACAGAAAAGCCCAGUCCAUCACAGAAAAAGACCUCCCCUCUAUUGACCACAUCUACAAAGAAUGCCACCAUUGUCAUCAAGAGUUCCCACCAUUCAGGCCAUAUUCCUUCUCGCUUUAGGUCACACCAUGUUCAGAGACAGUUGUUACCAUUCAACCAUUAGGCCCCUGAACGAGCAUGGAUAACUUCACUCACUUCAACACUGAACUGAUUCCACAACCUAUGCACUUACUUUCAAGAACUCUCCAAUUCAUGUUCUGUGUAUUUAUUGUUAUUAAAUUUGUUGUUUUUUGUGUUAGCACAGUUUGACUUCUUUUGCACAUUGCUUGGUUGUCAAUGUUACAUUGUGUGUAGUUUUUAAUUGGUUCUAUUGUAUUCCUCUCUACUGUGAAUGCCUUCAGAAAAAUGAAUCUCUGGUUAGUAUACAGUGAAAUAUAUGUACUUUUAUAAUAAAUGUAUAUUGAACUUUGAAUAGGAUUGAGAGGGAAAAGUAAGUCAACCACAAAGUAAGUGACAUGAUCCUCUCAUAUUCCUUUUGCCAGUCACCUGUCCAGCUCUUGGCUCCAUCCCUCCCCCUCCUGUCUUCUCCUAUCAUUUUGGAUCUCCCUCUCCCCCUCCCCCUACCCCUCCCACUUUCAAACCUCUUACUAGCUCUUCCUUCAGUUAGUCCUGACGAAGGGUCUCAGCCCGUAACGUCGACUGUACCUCUUCCUAGAGAUGCUGCCUGCCCUGCUGCGUUCACCAGCAACUUUGAUGUGUGUUGCUUGAAUUUCCAGCAUCUGCAGAAUUCGUCGUGUCAACCACUUUAUGCUUCAUUUCAGAUUUUCACUGUCUAGUUUUUUUUUCCUUUUUGAUUUUUAGGUCAUUAAUGUAACUAGAUAGCAAGUUCAUUGUUUCAGCAAGUAUAUUAUUAAAACACUCUGAGAGGGAACUUAGUGGGUGCAGGAAGCUGCUACUUUGAUCAUUAGUUCCUCUUUCAUUCAAAUCAAAAGGUAGUAUUGAGAAGAAUUCUAAAGUUUGGUCAUUGGUAAGAAGCUGAUUACAAAUUACAGAAGAAAAGUUUGGAAGAGAUUUCUCUUACUCUCUUUAGUACCUAGUGCCAUUUCUCCAUCAGUGCACCAUGCUUCCUGUGGGGCAAAAGAAGUACAUUGACAGAAUUGUUAGCUGGGAUUCUUUACUAACCAGCGAUCCUUCCUGCACAACACAAAGUUCUUCAUAAAGGGUCAAAAUGGUCUGGACAACCAGUGAGGCCUGCUCCCAGACAGCAGUACCGGGUUCUCAGCCGAGCUAAAGGUAACACCAGGAGAGGAGGGAGUAUUUUAUAUAAAGUUAAGGAAAGGCAAAAUAUGAUUCAGCAUGUGCUGUUAUGGAAUUGUUUUUGAUUUUAAAAGCACUGUUUUAAAUAAUCAGAAAAAAAAACUGAAAGAAAGGGGAAUGAGAACUAUGAAGGGGAUGUUUAGCUUUAGGUAUAUGAAGUAAGAAUGCUGUAAUUCAAUCAUUCACUUUUUCCCAUUUACUCCUACUACACCGGCCCUACCCAAUAAAUGCACGUAA